rnacentral:rRNA from 1 species
AUUGAACGCUGGCGGAAUGCUUUACACAUGCAAGUCGAACGGCAGCACGGACUUCGGUCUGGUGGCGAGUGGCGAACGGGUGAGUAAUAUAUCGGAACGUGCCCAGUCGUGGGGGAUAACGUAGUGAAAAUUACGCUAAUACCGCAUACGAUCUAUGGAUGAAAGCGGGGGACCUUUGGGCCUCGCGCGAUUGGAGCGGCCGAUAUCAGAUUAGGUAGUUGGUGGGGUAAAGGCCCACCAAGCCAACGAUCUGUAGCUGGUCUGAGAGGACGACCAGCCACACUGGGACUGAGACACGGCCCAGACUCCUACGGGAGGCAGCAGUGGGGAAUUUUGGACUAUGGACGCAAGUCUGAUCCAGCCAUUCCGCGUGCAGGACGAAGGCCUUCGGGUUGUAAACUGCUUUUGUACAGAACGAAAAGGUUUCUACUAAUACUAGGAGCUCAUGACAGUACUGUAAGAAUAAGCACCGGCUAACUACGUGCCAGCAGCCGCCGUAA